rnacentral:rRNA from 1 species
UACGUAGGGUGCGAGCGUUGUCCGGAAUUAUUGGGCGUAAAGAGCUCGUAGGCGGUCUGUCGCGUCGGUCGUGAAAACUUGGGGCUUAACCCUGAGCUUGCGGUCGAUACGGGCAUGACUGGAGUUCGGUAGGGGAGACUGGAAUUCCUGGCGUAGCGGUGAAAUGCGCAGAUAUCAGGAGGAACACCGGUGGCGAAGGCGGGUCUCUGGGCCGAUACUGACGCUGAGGAGCGAAAGCGUGGGGAGCGAACAGG